AGCAGCCGCGGUAAUUCCAGCUCCAAUAGCGUAUAUUAAAGUUGUUGCAGUUAAAAAGCUCGUAGUUGAAUUUCGGGGUCAGCAGGUUGGUCGUGCCACUGGUAUGCACUGGCCUUGCUGAUUCCUCCCUCUUGAUGAACCGUAAUGCCAUUAAUUUGGUGUUGCGGGGAAUCAGGACUGUUACUUUGAAAAAAUUAGAGUGUUUAAAGCAGGCAAGCGCUUGAAUACAUUAGCAUGGAAUAAUGAAAUAGGACGUUUGAUCCUAUUUUGUUGGUUUCUAGGAUUGACGUAAUGAUUAAUAGGGAUAGUUGGGGGCAUUAGUAUUCAAUUGUCAGAGGUGAAAUUCUUGGAUUUAUUGAAGACUAACUACUGCGAAAGCAUUUGCCAAGGAUGUUUUCAUUAAAUCAAAGAACGAAAGUUAGGGGAUCGAAGACGAUCAGAUACCGUCGUAGUCUUAAACCAUAAACUAUGCCGACUAGGGAUCGGAUGAUGUAAUUUUUAAUGACUCAUUC
rnacentral:rRNA from 1 species